rnacentral:lncRNA from 1 species
GCACCGCCUCUUGGGUUUUGCGAGUAGUUUCUGUGAACACGGCUUGGCUCGGGAGUCCGCGGGCCCUGGGGCAUCGGGCCUCCUGCAGGAAGCUGGCCAGUAUUGCAGUCCGGGUGGACGUCUCCUGCUUCGACGACUACUGCCUGACACCGAGGCAUGAUACGGGAUUUCAACACCACGGUGGUUUCUCCGGGGGUGGUUCUAAUGAGUAGGAC